rnacentral:rRNA from 1 species
UACGUAGGGUGCGAGCGUUGUCCGGAAUUAUUGGGCGUAAAGGGCUCGUAGGCGGUUUGUCGCGUCGGGGAGUGAAAACCAGGUGCUUAACACCUGGCUUGCUUUCGAUACGGGCAGACUAGAGGUAUGCAGGGGGAGAACGGAAUUCCUGGUGUAGCGGUGAAAUGCGCAGAUAUCAGGAGGAACACCGGUGGCGAAGGCGGUUCUCUGGGCAUGACCUGACGCUGAGGAGCGAAAAGUGUGGGGGAGCGAAACAGGG